rnacentral:rRNA from 1 species
UAGGGAAUCUUCGGCAAUGGACGGAAGUCUGACCGAGCAACGCCGCGUGAGUGAAGAAGGUUUUCGGAUCGUAAAACUCUGUUGUUAGAGAAGAACAAGGAUGAGAGUAACUGUUCAUCCCUUGACGGUAUCUAACCAGAAAGCCACGGCUAACUACGUGCCAGCAGCCGCGGUAAUACGUAGGUGGCAAGCGUUGUCCGGAUUUAUUGGGCGUAAAGCGAGCGCAGGCGGUUUCUUAAGUCUGAUGUGAAAGCCCCCGGCUUAACCGGGGAGGGUCAUUGGAAACUGGGAGACUUGAGUGCAGAAGAGGAGAGUGGAAUUCCAUGUGUAGCGGUGAAAUGCGUAGAUAUAUGGAGGAACACCAGUGGCGAAGGCGACUCUCUGGUCUGUAACUGACGCUGAGGCUCGAAAGCGUGGGGAGCAAACA